GCUACGUAGUUCGCGAACAGUCUGGUAUGAUUAGAAUCUUUCUUGUCCGUUCAAGUUCAUUUUGACGAGUUUCGUAACCUCGGGGUGUUCAAAUUUUGUUUGAAAAAGACGUCAAAUACGAUCGUCAGCGUAACGGAGUUUUGCCAACUUAAUAGAAGAAGAAGGCUCGUAAUGGCGUCCAUACUGUCUUCGCGCAAUGGCCGAGUGCGCCUGAAGUUCUCUGCGAGUUGCAAGAGACGAAUGGAGCUAGACAUGUUUUACCGUCUCUUCUGAGUAAGAGAAGGAGUACCGGAAGUGAAGGGUUACUCAAGAAUGCACGUCGAUUUGAAGGUGAAGCCAGGAGUUUUGAAUAUUGUCACUCUGCAGACGUAACAAUUACGAUGACAUAAAAUUGUAAAUAAAGGGCAGAGUUAAUAGAAAUAAAUUUUUUCAUGAAAUCGGUUUGGGUAGAAAGA